UUUCCACUGGGACUGAGGUGUCCUCGUGCUUCAUCUCCUCUUCUUUCUUUUCUCCUCCCAACUUCUCCUCGAUCUUUUCUUUCAGUCCUUUCUUCUCCUUCUUUUCCUUCUUCUUCUUCUUCUUCUUCUCUUCUCCUUCACCUUCCUCCUCGUCGCUGGACUGCACAUUCAGAAAACAGAUUGCAUAUUCCGAGAUCAGUCUCGAUAAAUCUCAUGAUCAAGGGAUACUAAAUAUAUAGUGAUUAAUUAAAACUGUAAGAUAAAAAUGGAAAUUUUCUCCACCCAGUUAACUCUUUGUACUGUUUUAACAUAAAAGAUUAUCAAAGUACUUACAGAGCUAGAGCUGCUAUCCGAUCGGUGAAGCUUCUCCAGGAGACUGUGUUUCUUCUCCUCUCCUGCUUCCUUCUUGUGCUCCUCCUCUACCUUUGUCUCUUCUAUCUUAACCUUCUCAUCAAAUUCGGUGGCGAUCACCAC
rnacentral:lncRNA from 1 species